UGGGAUAUCACCAAGCGGUAAGGCAACGGACUUUGACUCCGUCAUUCGCAGGUUCGAAUCCUGCUAUCCCAGCCA
rnacentral:tRNA from 1 species